UCGGGUUCCAGGCGCUUCCCUCCCCAACUGAACGCGGGAGGCGGCCGCCCCGGACCGCGCCUGCCCCGACGCGGGAAAGCGAUUUCUGAGACCCCAACCACCUCACAGGAAACAUCCUGACCAGGCCCACCUGUGAAUGACUGCAGGCAGAAAGUAACUAACACGUUCUCUCCAGCGGCUGGCCGGAACCAGGAAAGGGGAAAUCUGAAGAGUCAGGGUGUGCCAUCUCCCCUCACAGAGCCUACAGAGCAGCUGGAGAAGGAAGAAGUGCCCCCAGAGUGGCUACAGAAUAAGCACGAUCGGCCCACAGGCGCCUCUCUGGUUUCACCAAAUGUACGAAGUCAAACUUUGUGAAAUCAUUCCAUGAAGAGAGGGACAGUGUCUGAUCUUCCUCUCCCAUGGUAUCUUUGUAAAACUGGUUUUCUUUAAUGUUUCAAACAGAUGUGAUGAAUGAAAUAAUAAAUGAAAAAGGAGAGCUUGC